GGCCCCAUGGACUAGUGGUUAGGUCACCACCCUUUCAAGGUGGUAGCACGGGUUCAAAUCCCGUUGGGGUCA
rnacentral:tRNA from 6 species